rnacentral:rRNA from 1 species
GAUCAUGCCUCAGGAUGAACGCUAGCUACAGGCUUAACACAUGCAAGUCGAGGGGGCAGCAUGAACUUAGCUUGCUAAGUUUGAUGGCGACCGGCGCACGGGUGAGUAACACGUAUCCAACCUUCCGUUUACUCAGGGAUAGCCUUUCGAAAGAAAGAUUAAUACCUGAUAGUAUGGUGAGAUUGCAUGAUAACACCAUUAAAGAUUUAUUGGUAAACGAUGGGGAUGCGUUCCA